ACAUACUUGCUCAUUGGUUGGGCAUUACUUUAUGGAAGUAACUCUAGCAGGUUCGAUUCCUGCGUAUGAACCA
rnacentral:tRNA from 1 species